UGAGUACGAGAGGCUACGGCCUCGAAGCAGUCUAUGUCAUACUUCCAAGAAAAGCUUGCAAUGUCAUAAACAAAUAAUGCCUGUACCAUAACCGACACAGGUGGGUAGGUAGAGUAUACUAAGGGGCGCGAGAUAACUCUCUCUAAGGAACUCGGCAAAAUGACUCCGUAACUUCGGGAGAAGGAGUGCCUUAUUUAUAAGGUUGCAAUAACAAGAUCCAAGCAACUGUUUACCAAAAACACAGGUCUCCGCUAAGUCGUAAGACGAUGUAUGGGGGCUGACGCCUGCCCAGUGCCAGAAGGUUAAAGAAGUUGGUUAGCAUUAGCGAAGCUGAUAACUGAAGCCCUGGUGAACGGCGGCCGUAACAAUAACGGUCCUAAGGUAGCGAAAUUCCUUGUCGGGUAAGUUCCGACCCGCACGAAAGGCGUAAUGAUUUGGAUACUGUCUCGGAGAGAGGCUCGGUGAAAUAGACUUGUCUGUGAAGAUGCGGACUACCUGCACCUGGACAGAAAGACCCUAUGAAGCUUUACUGUAACUUGAAAUUGAAAUUGGACUUUAUUUGCGCAGUAUAGGUGGGAGGCGUUGAGAGUAUUCUUGCGGGAAUAUUGGAGCCAUCAGUGAGAUACCACUCUUGUAAUGUUAGAUUUCUAACUUUGGAUCAUUAUCUGGUCAAAGGACAGUUUCAGGCGGGCAGUUUGACUGGGGCGGUCGCCUCCCAAACGGUAACGGAGGCGUACAAAGGUUUCCUCUGAACGGGUAGAAAUCGUAUCUAGAGUGUAAAGGCAUAAGGAAGCUUGACUGUGAGACCUACAAGUCGAGCAGGGACGAAAGUCGGUCUUAGUGAUCUGACGGUGCUGAGUGGAAAGGCCGUCACUCAACGGAUAAAAGUUACUCUAAGGAUAACAGGCUGAUCUCCCCCAAGAGUUCACAUCGACGGGGAGGUUUGGCACCUCGAUGUCGGCUCAUCGCAUCCUGGGGCGGUAGUACGUCCCAAGGGUUGGGCUGUUCGCCCAUGAAAGCGGUACGCGAGCUGGGUUCAGAACGUCGUGAGACAGUUCGGUCCAUAUCCGGUGUAGGCGUUAGAAUAUUGAGAGGAGCCUUCUUUAGUACGAGAGGACCGAGAAGGACAUACCUCUGGUGUACCAGUUAUCGUGCCAACAGUAAACGCUGGGUAGCUAUGUAUGGAGAGGAUAACCGCUGAAAGCAUCUAAGUGGGAAGCCCACCUCAAGAUAAGUAUUCUCAU
rnacentral:rRNA from 1 species